rnacentral:rRNA from 1 species
AUGAACAUUGCCCUCCUUUCCCGCUGGCUCUGGCGCAUCUCUCAGGGACAUGGAGGUCUGUGGUUAGACAUCAUCCGGAACAAAUACCUGCGUGGUCAACCCUUGGCCUUCUGCCAGCGGUCGGGUGGGUCCCAGUUCUGGCAGUCGGUCAUCCAGCUGCUUCCCGUCCUCCGCAUUGGGACCUCCAUCUCGGUUGGUUCCGGAGCGGCGACCUUGUUCUGGUUUGACCGCUGGGCUGGGGACGCCCCCUUCGCUUCCCGCUUUCCCGACCUCUUCUCCAUCACAGUCGCCCCUACAAUCUCAGUUCAGCAUGCCCUUAUUGACUUAGGGCGCCUCGCGUUCCGAAGGCCAUUUGGGCCUCCGGAAGUGGCCGCCUGGCAUGAGCUGCUUGAUUGUAUUGCGCUCCAUGAACCGACUGUGGAUGUUGGCCCGGAUGAGGUUCGGUGGCACCUUGAGCCAUCGGGACAAUUCUCCACCAAGUCCCUCUAUGCGGCUAUCGCCCCCUCCUCCGCCCCUCCCCCCCUUCAGGCGAUUUGGUCCAUUCGACUGCCCCUUAAAAUCCGGAUCUUCAUGUGGCAGUGGAUCCGCGGUCGGCUUCCGUCGGGUGUUGAGGUCCGCAAGCGCAAUGGCCCGGGCUCUGGCAUCUGCCCCCUUUGUGAUUCCCCCGGAGACUCGAACCACAUUUUCUUCUCCUGUGUGUCUGCGCAGUUCGUCUGGAGCUGCUUUAGGGAGGCAAUUGGCGGGAAUUGGUGCCACUUCAACUUCCCCGACCUCUUCGCCGAACUACAGGCCUCCCCGCCUCCAUCUCGCCACAUUAGGUGGCUUGAAAUUGGGGUUCUCGCUUGGACGCUUUGGACCAUUCGCCAUAAACUUGUGAUUCAGCGCUCCCCUCUCCGACGCUCUACUGACGCCCUCUACAAAUUGUCUGGUUACUUGCAGCUCUGGUGGCCGCUUAGCCGCCAUCGGGACCGGGACGCCAUCUCCGCCUUCAUCGCCGACCUCCGCUCGAUGGCCGUCCGUCUGUCGCCGCCCCUCCGCCACCUCCUCCUGAGCCUGAUUAGUCAUGUGUUGCUAUCCAGCUCCGGCUACGGCCUUGGCCCUGGCUGA